rnacentral:rRNA from 1 species
CCGCCCUCAAGACGAGGCAUCUUAUGGCCGUCGUAAUCGACGACGUUGAUAGAGCGGGGGUGUACGCACGAAGCUCGCAAGGGCGACGUGUUCAGCCCGCCGCCACUAACCG